rnacentral:tmRNA from 1 species
GGGGAUGACCGGUUUUGACAGCAAGGUCAGUUGAAAUAUAAGCAUGUCGAGCAAUGAAAUAGUACUCGUUAAAAUCGAUUUCAAUUUUUUAAACGGCGAGAAUAACUACGCUUUAGCUGCAUAAUCUGAAUUUAUAGUAGGAUUAGCCUAGUCCCGCCAGGCGGGAAAGCUUUAUGUCUCUUGAAAGCCUUGGUUCACGGCGUUCUGAUUAGAGGCAUCGUAAAAGUAAACCUAGAAAAACAAAGGCUUUGGUUGUUUUUCGAAAUUAAAGAAGCUAAGCUUAAAGUAGGUUGUUUUUAAUCGGCUUUAGGAUGAAAAUUAAAUAAAAACUAAACAUGUAGAAAGUAUUUUGGUUGCUUGUUUGGACGAGGGUUCGAGUCCCUCCAUCUCCACUA